CUUAGUUAAUGUUUGCGUCGUGUUGCUGUUGGGGUUCUAUCGUUGGUAGCGGGUCGACUAUUGUAUUCUUCCAAUCCUUAAUCAUAGUAAGCUAUGGUGUCGUGCUGCUGGUGGGUGUUGUAUCGUUGAUGACUGAACCGAACACUGGUGUACCGACAUCUCCUGAGGAUGGUGGAUGCGAAAUCGCAACGCCGUCGCCUAACCAUGACAACAUAGGCAACAACCAGUUACUUCACCAAAGCAUCGGAGGACUUCACCAAAACCUGUGCUGUUCCAGCUUGCUGUCUUGAGGCAACGUUACUCCGCUUCCAGCUACUACACCUAGGCUCCAUCUUGCUUCACCACCGAGGCAUCGGAUUAUUACACACCUACCCACGCUGCUCAGUCUCCUACAUAGAGGAUUCCAACACAACACAUCCAGGGCACCGGAGUAAUACACGACUACGUAUGCUGCCCAAGCUGACUACACCAAGGUUCCCAAGUGAUCUCUGCUAGCAGCUACUACACCGAGGCACUAAAAUUCUACUCUGCCCCCAGCUACACACUCGCAACUGAGCCGGUCAACUAUUACGCAGGCAGUACCUACAAACCACUGUUAACGCUUCUCCGACCUAUCACACCGAAGUAUUACUCUGCCCCGAAUUACUACAUCAGUAAGGCACUUGAAAGUAAAACCACAACCUACAAUGUGAGAUCUAAAAUUUGUGUUCGAUGUUGAUGUGAUCCAAUCUUAAUAGUUAUUGUCAAUUGAAACUGAUUGUUGAUUUUAAAUGCAAUAAAUUGGUAAUGCGGAAAAUUGGAGCAAAUAAAAUUGAUAAAUCAUCUUGCACAACAUCUCAACACCUCCAACCAUUUAAACAUUGGGACAUUUUCUGUAUAUGCUUUUGGAUAUUACCUAUUUUACUUGAUUGGAAUGAUAAGUUACAAUCUUAGAGUUCUUUUAUCAUUGGAAAAAUUUCAUUUUAUAGGUAAUUUACGCAAAGCUUUUAAUAUUACAGUACACAAUAAACAAAC